AUGGUGAAAGGACGUCAAGGCGAGCGUGUUAGGCUUUAUGUGAGGGGCACAAUUCUUGGAUACAAGAGAUCCAAAUCAAACCAGUACCCAAACACAUCUCUGGUCCAAAUCGAAGGAGUUAACACCAAGGAGGAGGUAGCUUGGUAUGCCGGCAAGCGAUUGGCAUAUAUCUACAAGGCCAAGGUGAAGAAGAAUGGAACCCAUUACCGCUGCCUAUGGGGAAAGGUUACAAGGCCACACGGAAACAGUGGUAUUGUUCGUGCCAAAUUCACAUCAAAUCUUCCUCCCAAAUCAAUGGGAUCAAGGAUUAGAGUAUUUAUGUAUCCCAGUAACAUCUGA